rnacentral:rRNA from 1 species
ACGAACGCUGGCGGCAGGCCUCACACAUGCAAGUCGAGCGAGGACUUCGGUUCUAGCGGCGGACGGGUGAGUAACGCGUGGGAAUGUGCCCUUCUCUACGGAAUAGCCCUGGGAAACUGGGAGUAAUACCGUAUACGCCCUAUUGGGGAAAGAUUUAUCGGAGAAGGAUCAGCCCGCGUUGGAUUAGGUAGUUGGUGGGGUAAUGGCCUACCAAGCCGACGAUCCAUAGCUGGUUUGAGAGGAUGAUCAGCCACACUGGGACUGAGACACGGCCCAGACUCCUACGGGAGGCAGCAGUGGGGAAUCUUAGACAAUGGGGGCAACCCUGAUCUAGCCAUGCCGCGUGAGUGAUGAGGGCCUUAGGUUUGUAAAGCUCUUUCAGCUGGAAAGAUAAUGACGGAACCAGCAGAAGAAGCCCCGGCUAACUCCGU